GAAGGCCCUCGGGUUGUAAAGCACUUUCGGUAGGGAAGAAAUCACUAGGGGCAAAUCCCUUGGGGAUUGACGUUACCUAUAGAAGAAGCACUGGCUAACUCUGUGCCAGCAGCCGCGGUAAUACAGAGAGUGCGAGCGUUAAUCGGAAUCACUGGGCGUAAAGCGCGCGUAGGUUGAUAUUAUAAGUCGGAUGUGAAAGCCCUGAGCUUAACUUAGGAAUUGCAUCCGAUACUGAAUGUCUUGAGUAUGGUAGAGGGAAGUGGAAUUUCCGGUGUAGCGGUGAAAUGCGUAGAUAUCGGAAAGAACACCAGUGGCGAAGGCGGCUUCCUGGACUAAUACUGACACUGAGGUGCGAAAGCGUGGGGAGCAAACAGGAUUAGAGACCCUGGUAGUCCACGCCGUCAACGAUGAGAACUAGCUGUUGGAAAGUUUUCUUUCUUGUAGCGAAGCUAACGCAUUAAGUUCUCCGCCUGGGGAGUACGGCCGCAAGGUUAAAACUCAAAGAAAUUGACGGGGGCCCGCACAAGCGGUGGAGCAUGUGGUUUAAUUCGAUGCAACGCGAAAAACCUUACCUACCCUUGACAUCCUC
rnacentral:rRNA from 1 species